AAAAAUAUAAACAAAGUCAUUAAGAAAAAAAUUGAAGUGUUCAAUCAUCAACUCUUCUCUCCAAGGUACAUUCUGAUAUCUUUAUAUAUAAAAGAAAGGUUUUACCUCGAAACCCUAAUCUCAUUUUAGUGAAAUAUUUGUUGCCCUAAACGUAUUUUCGUCUGUUUACUUGAAAGUUAUUAUUAUUAAAAAAUUAUUUUUUUGCACAAUUUCUAGAUUACACUACACGAAUACAUAUUAAAGAAAAAUCACGAUAAAAUAUAUACCCACAAUGUUAAAACCGCCAAUUUCCAUUUCCAUUGUUCCUCAAUUCUCGCCAUUAUCGGCAUAUAUGUAAGCAUGGUUAGCCAGAACGGCGUGGGAAACGGCCGGAACGGCCGUUCUGAAAGGGGAACGGUGCAAUCCAUUCCGGAAUUCGUAACCAGAACGGUGUUUUCACUGGAAUUCAUCGGUACGCCGAGAAAUCAGAGGGAUGGGCAAGACGGAGCCACGGAAUGGACCCGACACGGCCGGAACGGUGCCGGAACGGCGCCGGAACAGUAGAAAUAAUAUGAAAAAAAUAUAAUUUGACUAAAAAAAAAGGAAAAAAUGACUAAUUUAACUGAAAAAAAUAUGGAAAAAUAAUAUAAUUAACUUUUUUGUAAUGGCUCGUGACUUUUCUAAUGUUCUUGUUUUUACUGUUUGACUUGUUACUUGUGAAUUUUUUCUUGGAUUCUAAUAUUUUGUAUUAUGAUGAAUUUGAUUUUACUAUUGGGUGUUUAUUUUCACAUCAUCACAUGCACUCCUCUAGGCUAUAGCCUUUCACAUCCAUGUCUCCCACAAGCCACAGUUUCACUCAAUAAUAGAACUAAUAAUAAUACAGAUCGUGGAUUGAUAUGAUCAGCUUUUAUCUUCAAUACAUAAUAUAUAUAAAGAGGCAUUGCAGAAGCAUUGGAGGAUAGAGAGUAAAAGAGAAAAAUAUAAACAAAGUCAUUAAGAGAAAAAUUGAAGUGUUCAAUGAUCAACUUUUCUCUCCAAGGUACAAUUUGAUAUCUUUAUAUAUAAAAGAAAGGUUUUACCUCGAAACCCUAACCCCAUUUUAGUGAAAUAUUUGUUGCCCUAAAACGUAUUUUUGUCUAUUUACUUGAAAGUUAUUAUUAUUAAAAAAAUAUUUUUUUGCACAAUUUCUAGAUUACACUACACGAUUACAUAUUAAAGAAAAA
rnacentral:lncRNA from 1 species